rnacentral:rRNA from 1 species
GUCGGCAGCUAGCUCUCUGCAACUCUCACAUGGUUGCCCACUGAAGCUAAGCAGGGCUGCGCCCGGUCAGUACCUGGAUGGGAGACCACAUGGGAAAGCUAGGUUGCUGCCGGAA